rnacentral:misc_RNA from 1 species
GAUGAAGAACGUAGCGAAAUGCGAUAAGUAAUGUGAAUUGCAGAAUUCAGUGAAUCAUCGAAUCUUUGAACGCACAUUGCGCCCGCCAGUAUUCUGGCGGGCAUGCCUGUUCGAGCGUCAUUUCAACCAUCAAGCCCCCGGCUUGUGUUGGGGACCUGCGGCUGCCGCAGGCCCUGAAAAGCAGUGGCGGGCUCGCUGUCACACCGAGCGUAGUAGCAUACAUCUCGCUCUGGGCGUGCUGCGGGUUCCGGCCGUUAAACCACCUUCAUAACCCAAGGUUGACCUCGGAUCAGGUAGGAAGACCCGCUGAACUUAAGCAUAUCAAUAUGCGGAGGA